rnacentral:rRNA from 1 species
AUUGAACGCUGGCGGCAGGCCUAACACAUGCAAGUCGAGCGGAGCGGCGGACGGGUGAGUAAUGCCUAGGAAUCUGCCUGGUAGUGGGGGAUCACGUCCUGCAACGGGCGCUAAUACCGCAUCCUCUCAGAUGAGCCUAGGUCUGAUUGGCUAGUUGGGGGGGUAAAGGCCUACCAAGGCGACGAUCCGUAACUGGUCUGAGAGGAUGAUCAGUCACACGGGAACUGAGACACGGUCCAGACUCCUACGGGAGGCAGCAGUGGGGAAUAGUGCACAAUGGGCGCAAGCCUGAUGCAGCCAUGCCGCGUGUAGGAAGAAGGCCUUCGGGUUGUAAAGUACUUUCAGCGGGGAGGCGUUACCCGCAGAAGAAGCACCGGCUAACUCCGUGCCAGCAGCCGCGGUAAUUC